UCCUGCAGUCUAAUUUAUUUGUUUGCGUUUGUACUGAUGAUUUAUCCAUUUAUCAUCUCUUGAAGUGGCCAAUGCUUAAUUGCUUAAAGAUUUUUGAAGUAAUUGUAUUCCAUAAGCCAAGUUCUAGCAUGUGGCAAUUUUGACAUCAAUUAUUUUUCAUAAAGUAUGUGGUUUAUUUCCUGAAAAUUGAGUUUUCUGCUGCAGCGAUUAGCC
rnacentral:lncRNA from 1 species